GACAUUGUUCUUAAUUACUUUUCUAGAGAACCUAUAUUAGAUUAUUAGAAGAAGUUUUGAAAUAGCACUCUUUUGCAUACCGUUUCAAACCACCACCCGACGCUCUUCGAACCCUAAACCGCCGGCGCUAGGAGGCGUGACAGUGCCCUUCAGAAAGCUUCCAUCGUCACCGCUGAUGGUCGCUCAAUGGCCACUGCACCAGAGUUUGAAAGCAGCAACAAUAUACGGACACAUCAUGUAAACAUACCUCAAUCGCCUACUACAAGAAUAAGAAGCUUUAGGGGCGACAUCUUUAGUCGCGACACCCACCAAUAGCGGCGACCUAUGUUACGAUCCGUGUUGUAAUAUACUGAUAUACUCUUACUGAUAAUGAUCUGAAGGUUGUAUCACUUUAUAAUCAUAUUUGUGAGCCCUUGAUCAAUAGUAUUUACUAAGAUCAAAAGUAAAACAUAGUUUUUUAACACAAGGGCCCCAUUUUUAGACUUUGCUUUAGAGUGUUUGCCCCAUUUUUAGUUUUUUA
rnacentral:lncRNA from 1 species